rnacentral:rRNA from 1 species
CACGUAGGGCGCAAGCGUUGUCCGGAAUUAUUGGGCGUAAAGAGCUCGUAGGCGGUCUGUUGCGUCCGCUGUGAAAACUCGGGGCUUAACCCCGAGCCUGCAGUGGAUACGGGCAGACUAGAGGUAGGUAGGGGAGAAUGGAAUUCCCGGUGUAGCGGUGGAAUGCGCAGAUAUCAGGAGGAACACCGAUGGCGAAGGCAGGUCUCUGGGCCGCAACUGACGCUGAGGAGCGAAAGCGUGGGGAGCGAACAGG